rnacentral:rRNA from 1 species
AGCAACGCCGCGUGAGUGAUGAAGGUUUUCGGAUCGUAAAGCUCUGUUGUUAGGGAAGAACAAGUGCAAGAGUAACUGCUUGCACCUUGACGGUACCUAACCAGAAAGCCACGGCUAACUACGUGCCAGCAGCCGCGGUAAUACGUAGGUGGCAAGCGUUGUCCGGAAUUAUUGGGCGUAAAGGGCUCGCAGGCGGUUUCUUAAGUCUGAUGUGAAAGCCCCCGGCUCAACCGGGGAGGGUCAUUGGAAACUGGGAAACUUGAGUGCAGAAGAGGAGAGUGGAAUUCCACGUGUAGCGGUGAAAUGCGUAGAGAUGUGGAGGAACACCAGUGGCGAAGGCGACUCUCUGGUCUGUAACUGACGCUGAGGAGCGAAAGCGUGGGGAGCGAACAGGAUUAGAUACCCUGGUAGUCCACGCCGUAAACGAUGAGUGCUAAGUGUUAGGGGGUUUCCGCCCCUUAGUGCUGCAGCUAACGCAUUAAGCACUCCGCCUGGGGAGUACGGUCGCAAGACUGAAACUCAAAGGAAUUGACGGGGGCCCGCACAAGCGGUGGAGCAUGUGGUUUAAUUCGAAGCAACGCGAAGAACCUUACCAGGUCUUGACAUCCUCUGACAACCCUAGAGAUAGGGCUUUCCCUUCGGGGACAGAGUGACAGGUGGUGCAUGGUUGUCGUCAGCUCGUGUCGUGAGAUGUUGGGUUAAGUCCCGCAACGAGCGCAACCCUUGAUCUUAGUUGCCAGCAUUCAGUUGGGCACUCUAAGGUGACUGCCGGUGACAAACCGG